rnacentral:pre_miRNA from 1 species
UGGAAGACUUGUGAUUUUGUUGUUUCUGGUGUCAAGGAAGCGAACAACAAAUCCCAGUCUCCUCA